UCGGCCUCCCAAAGUGCUGGGAUUACAGGCGUGAGCCACCGCACCUGAACUUUUCCUCUUAUGAAAGGAGCAGACACCAGAAACGACGCAGGCUCCCUCCUCCAGACAGAACCACGCUCAGCGUGAAACGCACCUGGGUCAGAGUCACCUAAGAUUGGUCAGCAAACAACAGGGAGAAACGAACGUGGUGAUGGCGUCAGUUCAUGCCUCAAAGACUGCAGAGCUGGGGGAAAGAAGUGAAUGUGCUGGAAUAUUCUGGCAGCUCAGUGGAGGAAGGGCCGAGGCAUUCAGCAAGAGGGAAUUCCGCAAGCCAGACGCAGCGGAGGCGGAGGACGCAAUCCCCGCCAGCUCCUGGGACCCAAGGGCCGGGUCCCUCCCGGGCUUGUGCCCAGCUUGUCCUCUCCCAUCCCUGCCUCUGGCCCGGUAUUUGCUCCCAGCAUCCUCAGCGGCCGGCAGGGAAGGCGUCCCUGGGAGGCCACCGUGGAGUUGUAGUGGACCCAGAGGCAGUGAGGUCUGCGGAGGAGAGCACUCAACAGGUAGGUAGGCGACCUGGGCCCCACCACGCACUGCAGUGUGACCCCAAGCAGCUCACUUCACUCCGAGUCCUGGUUUUAAUAAAACAUAGGACAGCGGGGAUGAGACUCUUAUUAAUAUCACAUCACAGCCUGUGGAAGGGCUUUAUAAAUGCUAAAGCUCUGUGCUAAUGUUCAGGGCACUGUACCCCUCUCCAUAGGAUGAGGGGUGGGUGAGAUAAAAUGACCCCAUGGGGACAUCCAGCCCAGACUUGUCACUCUGACUCGGAUUCUAAGAUGAAACGAGCUCAUUCCCUCCUCCCACACAGCCCUGGGCCUACACCCCUUGGCCCAAGUGACCAGAGUGGAGGGCUGGGGAGGGAGAUGGGUCAGGAGGUAUAGCUCGGGGAGCCACAGAUGUCCUGACCUGAAGGAGCUCCUUUCAGAGCUAUGUGAUGGGCCAGCUACGUUACCCGUGACCGCUCAGACGCAGGUGGGCCUUCAGAGUGUCCACACCGGUGAGGGUGAUGUCAGCCCACCAGGGCCCGUCGGCCUGCAGGGCCGCCCUGUUAGGCUGUGUGGUUUGCCGAUGUGGUACUGCCUGCCCAGAGGAAGGGAUGCCUUUUGUUGCAUACAAGGUUUCCAUCUACAGGGCCAAGUCUUACCCAGUGGUUGCUGAGCCUGCAGGGAGGGGCUGCCCUCUUCCCAGCAGGCUUACCUGCCCCCUCUGGCAGGAGGGACCACCCCUUUUUCCUAAACACAUAAUUACAAUAACAAUACAGUCCCCAAUCCCUUGUCCACAAUUCCAAACUCCCAACGCUCUGAAAAUCCAAAGCCUUUUUCUUUUCUUUUUUUUUUUUUGAGAUGGAGUCUCGCACUGUCGCCCAGGCUGGAGUGCAGUGGCACAAUCUCGAAUCACUGCAACCUCUGCCUCCCGGGUUCAAGCGAUUCUCCUGCCUCAGCCUCCUGAGUAGCUGGGAUUACAGGUGCCCGCCACCACGCCUGGCUAAUUUGGUGUAUUUUUAGUAGAGACAGGGUUUCACUACGUUGGUCAGGCUGGUCUCAAACUCCUGACCUCGUGAUCCGCCCGCCUCGGCCUUCCAAAGUGCUGGGAUUACUGGCGUGAGCCACCGUGCCCGGCUGGCUUUUCCAUACCUUAUUUAGCAAAACCUAGCCUAACCUAAGUCCUUUUUUUCUCUCACUUUGAGUAAAGAUUCACAUUUCAAUGAGGAAACCGUAAUGUGUUUGAGCAUGGGGUGUUUCCCCAGAUCUCACUGGGUUAUACAUGACAUUGGAAUAUGCAUAUUACCUUUUUAAAACUCCAGAAGCAGACAUUCUGAAACACAUACGACCAUGGGUUUCCGCUAAGAAAUAGAUCUGUAACAACCAGCACUGAGUAUACAGGCUUCCACAUAUCCCCAGCACUGUGCUGUGUACUCACAGGCACCAGUUCAUGUAAUCCCAGCAACUCAACUUAUUUCAUGUUAUAGCUGAAGCCCAGGGAGGUUAAGUAGCCUUGCCAAAGUCACACAGUUAACUCAGGGGUGGUGCCAGAUUUGAACUCCGGCAGUUUGGCUCCCUGUUACUAACCCUAGGCUGUACAGAUGAGGAAACUGAGGCCCAGAAAGCAGAAACUUGCUCAAGAUCCUCUGAUGGGUAACGGUUGGAGCUGGGCCGGAGUCCUUGAGCCCCAAGCCUUACCUGCUCCUGUCUGUUGGGGACCAGUUGGGGGUGGUGAGGCCACCAGCAGCAGCCCAGGAACUCACAGCCUCCUCAGGCUGAGUUUGUCCAGCCCAUCCGGGAGGAGCUUAAAAUAGAAGAAGUUCCCAUGGAAAAGUUUUAAGACUUCACUGGAUUGAAACCAGAUGACCCUGUGCAAACAGACCCCACCAGCAGGCACAGGGUCUGGGCGUGAGCUGUGCUCCCUACGGCUGUUCCCAGCCUGCCCUGGGGAGGGAAACUGCCCUGGGGGUGCAGACAGGCCAGCAGGGAAGAGAGCCCAGGGACAGGGGACACCAGAGCGGCAGGCCUUUGCUGUUGGGAAGGGGUGGGAGACGUCUUCCCCAAGGCAGAGAAGUGUCCCCAACACUUUCACUGGCUCCAUCUGUUUCCCAGCUUCUGAAGAUGGACAGAGAACUUGGAGACAGCAUUCACCCAUUCUCCCACCCUGCCAAUCGUCUCCCUGUUCCCCCACUUAUUCUUGCCUUUACUUGCACGCCACAGUCAUACGGCAAACACAGCACCUCCUUGACACGGAGGGCUAUGUGUGAACCACUAGGGACACAAGAAUGCAGCAGACACUGUCCUGCCCUUUGGAAACUCCCAGACACACUGAGCAGUCGUCACAGCAGGAUGGUGGGGGGUAGGGGUAGGCUGGGGACACCUGAAUAACCCUGGCCGGUCAGCGGGAGCUGCACAGACGAGGUUUGGAGCAGGACCCAGAAGGGAGGGAGAAGAAGGGGUGUUCUGGGCCAGCGGUCAGGCCUGGUCACGCCAGCUGGCUGGCACACAGGGUGCGCGGAGAAGGGCAAACAGAAAAAGGGGCUGGAGGGAGGUGCGGACCCCAUUAGAGGGCCUCAUCGCCCCAUUGAGUUUCUCCUGGGAAGGCUGGGGAGGCAGGAGAUUUUAUGUCUUCCUGGACUCCAGGUUGGUGGAGGAAGAAGACUCUUCUCCGUGCAGCGGCCAGUGGUAGUGACCUGAGCACUCCUCUGGGGCAGGGCCUGUCCCUGUCGCCUAUUCAGCCCAGCCUCUGGCACAUGGCUAAGCACCAUAGGAAUAGAUUGCUCAAUCUCCCCAUGCCUAGAAACCAAGUCCCUGCUGCUCCUAGAAGGAUGAGACCACCAGGGAAGUGGGAACCUGAACUGGGUUUUUUUUUUUUUUUGGAGGGGGUGCGGGGGGGACAGGGUCUCACUCUGUUGCCCAGAAUGGAGUGCAGUGGCAUGACCUCAGCUCACCGCAACCUCGCCUCCUGGGUUCAAGUGAUUCUCUUGCCUCAGCCUCCUGGGAUUACAGGCUCGCACCAUUAUCACCCGGCUAAUUUUUGUAUUUUUAGUAGAGAUGGGGUUUCACCAUGUUAGCUAGGCUGGUCUUGAACUCCUGACCUCAAAUGAUCCACCCGCCUAGGCCUCCCAAAGUGCUGGGAUUACAGGUGUGAGCCACCACGCCUGGCCUGAACUGGGUUUUAUAUGAUAUUAAGAAAUUGUUGUACCAUGGAAUACUAUGCAGCCAUAAAAAGAAUGAAAUCAUGUCCUUUGCAACAAUAUAGAUAGAGCUAGAGGCCAUAAUCCCAAGCAACCUAAUGCAAGAACAGAAAACCAAAUACCACGUUCUCACUUAUAAGUGGGAGCUAAAUGUUAAAUACACAUGAUCAUAAAGAUGGGAACAGUAGACACUGGGGAUCACUGGACUGGGAAGGGAGGGAGGGGGGUGUGGGCUGAAGAAUCACCUGUUGGGUACUAUGCUUACGGUCUGGGCGACAGGGUCCCUGGGACCCCAAGCCUCAGUGUCAUGCAAUUUGCCCAUGUAACAAAUCUGCAGGUGUACCCUUUAUAAUAAAAAUUGAUUUUUUUUUUUUUCUGAGAUGGAGUCUUGCUC